UUCUGUGUUUAAAGAAAAAAAACGAAUAUGGUGCCAAACUGUGAUUAUAAAUCCUUUGUGUCUUAGAGUGCACUCAUUUUCUGGAGAUUAGGGGCUGUCCUUUAUCAGCCAGUUCACUUCUGAAAGUCCAUGAUAGACUGCUGCUUGCCCGUCUGCUCCAAGGAGCAGCAACCUCAACUUUAUCAUCAAGGAAACCCCCAAACACAUCUGUCAGGGGAGGAGGUAAAGCAGAAAUACUGCUUUCUCAGGGCAGACCCUCACAGGCAAAUCUUACUUUUUUUAUCUGGAGCAAUAAAAACUGCAAUUGAAAGUGGACUUUGGAAGUAAGGAAGCAGUUGUAAUGCAGAGAUGUCUGUGUGAGAUACCUGAGCAAAAGCAAUCAGUUUGGCUCUGCCACUGCACUGCUCCACGUGGCUGGAAUUAUUCUGCUGAAAAACAAGAAUAUAUCCCAAACAAACAUCCGUGAAACAGAAAAAGGCUACAACCAAGGCAGAGAACCGAACCCACAGGCAAUAGUAAUUACUGCCCUUCCAAGAAGAAGUAAGAGAAAAGUCGCAGCUACCCCAGAGCUGCCCCUGGGAUGGCAUACUUCUACACAGCACCUUUCAUCUCACCAGGCUGAUGCAGAGAUUUCAUGGUAAAUUCUUAGGCUUUGCUAAUCAGACAAGCUUGUCCAGGCACAUAGAGCUGUGCAUACAACCUCCAUCUGCAAGAAAAACAUCAUGUCUUCAGGCUGAUAAGAUGUGGAUUGCUAUUCUAUUUGCUUGGGGUUCAUCUCCCAUCAAAACCCAUGUUGAUUCUCAGUUGAUUGUAAGUUCAAGCGCUUCAUUGCAAAUGUUAAUCUUGCAGGCAGAUAGCUGGAGUCCUAUGCACGUUCUUCUUUUCUUUAUUUUUUUAUUUUUUGACUCUUUUUUGGGGGGGGGGUAGAGGUAUGGAAAAGAUUAAUUAAGAAAGCAGAUUACAUUGGUCUGGUUUAUUUGCCCUUCUUCCUUCUCUAAAUAGGAGUGAACUUUGGCAGGGUUAGUUUUCUUGUUCCCUUCCACUAGAGGUAACAAAAUGUAAUUUUCUUUCACAAGGGCAACUUAGAAGAAAUUUACCCUCUGCUCUUGAGGCUGAGAUAGCAACAACGCUGCCUCAUUCAAGUGGCUACCAGUCAUUAUGAAAUGCAUGAAUAAGCAGUAACAAUUAAUUCACUGAGGCUGGACGAAAAUAUUUUUUGGGUGAUAGUGUAAUGUAAAUCAUUGUUUUACACAUUCCCUUUCAGUGAUUUAAUUCAUGCCUUUCUGACCCCCGCUGUGUUAUGAUUCAUAGAUUAGUGCUCAUGUGUGUAAUUUAACAAAGCUGAAUAACAAACAGCAAGGAGACUUAAACAAAUCAUUGCAUCUGAUGUUUUUACGAUAAAUUAGGAAAACAUCAUUAGUACCAUGCAGAAUGAUUAUGCUGCUGCAAUUUCUACAUAAGUACCUGUCAGGAAAAAAAGAAAAAUACACAAAACAUUGCAUAACAAGCAGUAAACCAGAUGUAGAGAUCCAAAACAAUGGCAGGCAAUAAUCCAUGUACUGUA